CUAUUUUUUUCUUCUUUUUUCUUUAUUUUCUGCCUUACAAUUUGGUUUGUGUCUAUUCACUUUGGCUAUUUUCUAUCUCGUUUCCCUUGAUGGUUCUGCUUCUCACGAGGCUGACGAUAUUCGACUUAAUGAGACGAACAAAAAAUGACAUGAAACGAUUAAGCGAUUUACCUGAGUCAAUGUUUUAAAACAUCAAAUUUUCCAGGAAUAUGAUUUUAGUAUAAACGAUUUUAUAUUAUUUUUUUUUCAGAAACUCUCAAACGUACUGAUAAUAAUAACUUGUCUUCGAGCGACCUUUUAGGUGCUCUUAAUCCUGUUAUAUUCUUACGAACAAUUUAAUGACGUCCAAUUUUGGAUUUCUUUUUUUAAAUUCACAUACUGACGCAUCGCAGUGGAUUCAAUAUCGAUAUAUCUAUUCGAUUUUUCGACAUUGUUCAAGGCAUUUUUCAUACAGACGAACUCUAUUGUUUAAGGUAUAUUUGUAUAUUUUACGGUAUACCAGGAAUAUUUUUUAUCAAAUAUUAUUUUGAAAAGCACGGCAGGGUAAUAAUAACAUUUAGCCACGUGUGUCGCGCCACGAGUAUCGUCUAUCUAUUUUUGGCUACAAGAUGUAGGAGCUUGCUUUUUUAAUGAUGGAUUGAAAUUAACAGAAUACCUACAACAAACCGGAUCACCCACACGAUAUGAUAAAAUCCAUAUAUAAAUUGCUGAUAUAUCAGAGACACGGGUAAAAUACAAGGAAUACUAAAUGAAGUCUAAAAAAGAAAGCCCUGCUGGAAGCAACGAGCAAGAGAAAUGGCCAAAAUCUUUUCUUGAACGACGCUGGACGCCGUGACGCCCACAGGCAGCCAUUCCUUUUUACUGGUCAUACGGAACCACAUGAGCUGAACAAAACACUCUAGUCAUUCGCAGGUAAAUUACUUCCAAUGUCCUUCUCUUAGGUGACGUAACAAUUUAUGCCUUGUUCAAUGUGUUAAUUCUAACCUUGAAAAUUAGCGAAUUUUUUGGAAAAAUAUUUUUCAAAACUGCAAGUCUUGGUUGAUAGGAAAUUAAUAUAAUUUUGCUAACCAACCAUUGAGACUUGUGAUUUAUAUUAUGACUGUAUUUUUAGAUAUAAGAAUAUUUCACCCGUUGCCAUUUACAGUUUUAGGCUUACUCAUUGACUGCCAAUCAGUGAUUGAUAAUUCCAAUGCAAUUUUUUGCCAACUUUAUUUUUUGACACUCAUUGUCUGCUAAAAGAGGAUGUACUAAUGACUAUAUGGCGUGUAUAUAGGAUAAAGGGCAGAACAAAUGAUUAUAUAAAGAUGAAUCGUCCCUGGUUACCUUCCAAUGUCAUAGACAGGAUCUGGUGAUACCCAUACACCAUUUAAUUAAUGACGGUCAAGGUGAGAAUAAUUGAAAAGGUCUAAUUUAGGAUUUUAGAAAACAACGGAGAAAAAAUUGCGCAACCGUUGACGCAGUAAAUAUCCAGUCUUCGGUGUAAUUUAGUCUUGAUCGGCAUUAAUUAAAAAAGCAUUGCUUCCAAUUCACGGGAUAAUCGAGUAAGGAAAGUAUAGAUGGUCGGUAUACGGUAAAGUUGAGCACCUCAAUUACCAAGAACGUAACAGUAUGCAUGCCAUUGAAAAAUUGGCGCAUUAUUCCCAUGCAUUAUAACCAAGGAGAAACAUGCAUAGUUAGAAAUUCUAAUCGAUAAGAGGAAUCAUGUGGAGCAGAGAUGAUUGCGGAGCCUGUUACGAAGAUUGAAGCAAGAAAAACCGGUGUUUAAGCGGACAAGACGGGCAUUUAUUCAGGUAGGGACAGGCAGGCAUGCAUUCGGCAGACAGGGCGAUCAAAAGUCUGCGCCUUAGGGUGAAGAAGCAUCGCAGUGC